UUUUUUUUUUUUUUUUCUCUUCCUUCUUCCCUCCCUUUUUCCUUUUUCCUUUUCCCCUUCCCCCUACCUCUUAUUUUUUGAGACAGGGUCUAACAACUGUUGCUCAGGCUGGCGUGGGAACUUGUAGCCAGGCUGGACUCUCAGCACCCAGCCUCUUAGGGAAAGUUGAGAUUACAGGCAUGAACAUAUCAUUUCCCUCCCUGCCCCCCUGGGAUCAGGGUACAUACAAAAGCCCAGGUGUCACACAAAAGCUGGGAAGCCUGGUGCUGUAGUGUAGGGAAAACAGAGACAGGGAGGUCAGUGGGGUUUGCUAGUGUUAGCAGAGCUCCAGACUCGAUGAGAGACUCUUGUCUCAGAAUCCUAUUAGUGUGAUAGAGCGAGAGUAUGUGCACACACGCGUGCUUAUGUGUAUAUACACUGUGCACACGCACACACCAGAUUCAUACAUAGACAUAUGCGUGUGUACACACACUUGCACAGGAAAAAGAAAAAAAAAAGUAAUGUUGGGGGAAAGCAUCUGUAAUCCUCUGUUUUUUCAAGACAGGGUUUCUCUGUGCAGCCCUGGCUGUCCUGGAAUUCACUCUGUAGACCAGGCUGACCUCAAACUCAGAAAUCUGCCUGCCUCUGCCUCCCAAGCGCUGGGAUUAAAGGCGUGCGCCACCACUGCCCGGCCUGUAAUCCUCUGUUUAGUGAUGAUGGUACUUGGGGUGAACGCAGAGCCUUGCAUAUGUUAGGCAAGUGUUCUACCACAGUGCCACACUCUUGAACCUUGACCAGGCUGGCUGCAAACUUGUUAUUUUGUACCUUUCCUGGCCAGACAGCUGGGAUCACAGGCUUGUACUGUUGGACCCCACGCUUUCUUCCUUUUAAUGGCAUUUAAGGUGUUUAGGGUCUUUUAGGGAACGUAGGCAUACUCUGUCCUGAACCACCCUGCCAGUCCCGGAUUUAUUUACUUAUUUUUAAGUGUGUGUGUGUGUGUGUGUGAGUGUGCGUGUGAAUGCACAUGAGUGCAGGUACCCAAAGAAGACCAGAAGAGGAUGAGAGGGUGUCAGGUCCCCUGGUUCUGAAGUUGCAGGUGGUACUGAGCCACCCCGUAGGGUGCUGGGAAUUGAACCCAAGUCCCCUGCAAGAGCAGUGUGUGCUCUAAGUGCUGAGCCUCCUCUCCCACCCCUGCAGUUCAUCAUUUCAGUCAUUAAGACUGUAUAUUAUUUCAUCUGUUACUGUGAGCCAGGUGUGCUGACACACCUUUAAUCCCAGCAACUGGGAGGUAGAGGCAGGUGUCUCUCUUGUGAGUUUGAGGCCAGCCUGGUCUACAUAGUGAAUUCCAGGACAGCCAAGGCUAUGGCAGAGAGCCUGCCUAGGUGUGAUAGUGUAAUCAGGCCUUUAAAAAAAAAAAGAUUUAUUUAAUAUAUGAUUACGCUGUAUCUGUCUUCAGACACACUAGAAGAGGUCAUUGGAUCCCAUUACAGAUGGUUGUGAGCUACCAUGUGGUUGCUGGGAUUUGAACUCAGGACCUUCAGAAAAGUAGCCGGUUCUCUUAACCACUGAGCUAUCUCUCCAGCCCUGACCUGGCCCUUAAAGUGAGCUUUUUUCCUUAAAGAUAUAAGGCACAAUAUGUUUGAGACAUGUUUACAUGCUAUAGAGUGCACUCCUUUCAAGUAAGGACUUGAAGGGGUUACAAAUGUAUCUCCCGUGUAUCCACCCCCCAUGGAAAGCACGGGAUCUUUCUGCCUUCAGAGGCUCCUGGGAUGUUUCACUCUCCCUAGUGCCCAGCCCCCAGGCCACCUCAGUUGUGCUUCUUAUCCUUGCAGGUUAUCCAGCCGCCUUUCUAGACCUUUAUAGACUGGGAGCUACUGGAUAGUUACUGGAGGGUUUAAUGCUUCCUCCCUGGUCCGAUAUCCAGUGUGUUUCUUUGUUCUUUCUUUGUUAACCACUGUUCAGAGCUCCAGGGUGAGAAAGGACUCAUUAUUAUUUUUUGUCUCCUCUUAGUUUCCUGUUCCCCUGUUUGAUAUUUUAACUCAUUUACAGACAAAGGUUUCAUUUUUAUUGAUGGAGUUUGGAGAAUAAAUAAAUGAAAAAUAAAUCCUAUCCC
rnacentral:lncRNA from 1 species